rnacentral:rRNA from 1 species
AUACGUAGGUGGCAAGCGUUGUCCGGAUUUAUUGGGCGUAAAGCGAGCGCAGGCGGUUUCUUAAGUCUGAUGUGAAAGCCCCCGGCUCAACCGGGGAGGGUCAUUGGAAACUGGGAGACUUGAGUGCAGAAGAGGAGAGUGGAAUUCCAUGUGUAGCGGUGAAAUGCGUAGAUAUAUGGAGGAACACCAGUGGCGAAGGCGGCUCUCUGGUCUGUAACGGACGCUGGGGCUCGAAAGCGUGGGGAGCAAACAGGAUUAGAUACCCUGGUAGUCCACGCCGUAAACGAUGAGUGCUAAGUGUUGGAGGGUUUCCGCCCUUCAGUGCUGCAGCAAACGCAUUAAGCACUCCGCCUGGGGAGUACGACCGCAAGGUUGAAACUCAAAUGAAUUGACGGGG